rnacentral:miRNA from 1 species
UUAUUGUGGUAACUUUAAGAUGGC